CGGGCUGGCCGGGCGACCGCGUGACCCAUCGCCGCGAGGCGACGGGCCCCGAGGAAAGUCCGGGCUCCACAGAGCAGGGUGGUGGGUAACACCCACCCGGGGUGACCCGCGGGAAAGUGCCACAGAGAACAGACCGCCUCGCCUCUCGUGGGCGGGGUAAGGGUGAAACGGUGGGGCAAGAGCCCACCAGUGCGCCGGGCGACCGGAGCAGCUAGGCAAACCCCACCCGGAGCAAGACCAGACAGCACACGACGGUCCGGAUCAACCGGGCUGAGAGGGCUGCUCGCCCGAGUGUGCGGGUAGGUCGCUCGAGGCUGUCGGCAACGGCAGCCCUAGAUGGAUGGUCGCCCCUUUGGAAACAGAGGACAGAACCCGGCUUAGAGGCCAGCCCGUCCC
rnacentral:RNase_P_RNA from 1 species